GUCCCAGUAGCUUACAACAAAGCAUGGCACUGAAGAUGCCAAGAUGGCUGUCACCACGCCCACGGACA
rnacentral:tRNA from 1 species